AUUUUUGGCAUUUUUUUUGCAACAGGAAGAGCUUAGCUAAUUUACCCACAAUCCAUUAGUCUCUGCAGACUUGGUGGUUAGAGAACGAGUACUGUGAUCUGACACAUGGAAGAAAAGAUAAUGAGUAUAAAUAAAGUCAAGAGGCUCAGGGGGACGAGGGGGGAAGUAUAAUCAUUAAUAUACAAAAGGACACAGUGACACUUUAAAUGUUAGCUUCCUUAAGAUUGUAAAAUAAAGUAGUGUCAAUUCAGAGUAUCUUCUCAUUAGCACAGGUGGAUCCAUCUCUGUCUGUGACAAAAUAUCCAGAAAACAUACACUUAGGGGGUUCUGAAGACUGAUCAAUAACCAGGGGCUAAAACUAUGUUGCAUAUAGAAAAUAGAGUGAAUUUAGCGGAUACAUCAAACACAAGAGGUACAGGCAACCCAGUAGACAAGAUGGAGUUCAGAGUUCCAUAGUAUCUAGGGAACACUAUGCAUAGGAUGAGGAAGAGGCACAAAAUAUGUCUGCACAGUCUUAAUAUAUAUAAAAAAUAAAUAAAAUAAAAAGAUUAAACCUGAGCUGCAGAGGCUGCCACCGUAGUCCCAACAGUGUAGUCCGCAAACAGAUAAAGAAAUUGAGUUCUGCGCAUCCAGUUAGUUUGUCCUGAAAUUAGCAUUGAAAAAGGGCUCGUGACCGAAAUGUUUGUUUGUAUUGUGUCCUCAAAUAAACUGUAUUACCACCUGGGUGUGCACAAACUAACUGGAUGCACAGAACUCCAUUUCUUUCUCUGUAUGUAGGGAACAGAUAGGCCAUGUACAACAUAUUUUUCUAUCACAUUCCUUUUGAAUGUGAUGUGCUGAAUCCCAGUCCUCAAAUUCCAUACCGCUAGAGCAAGUCUUAAUUACUAGUAAUUCAUGUAUUAAUACCGGGUGCAUGUAUGAGCUCUAAUUUCAAAAUUUGUUAAAUAUUUUCAAUUUAUAUAUUUGUUAUGGUUCACCUGUUCCUUAUUUUUUAUUGCUAACUCUUGUCAAAGUUCUGAGUCUGAAAAGGAAAUAAUUCUCCUUGAAAACUCCUUCCAAAAUAACAAUUCGAUAAACCCACGAACCAGUACUUUAAAAGAAAUACAGCCUUUUGCACGUUCAAAAUACAGUUUUUCUUCACAAAAAAAGGAAACAUUUUCCUUUGGGAUUUAAGGCAUUUUUAUAUAUAUAUAUUUUUUUUUACUAUGUGCAGUACUCGAGCAGUGAGUGCAGUAUGGAUGUGACAACUGCCAAAACCAUUUCAUCAUGACCAAAGCAGUAUUUUCCACAGCAAUACUGGAGCUUUAUUUGUAAAUUGUAUAUUCUUGUAUUUGCUGUUUUUGGGCUAGUGACAGACACAUCAUUAGAAUUAGUCACAGGAGGUUAGUGAAGCACCAUUUUAAUUCACACCACUAAAGGGACAAUUGUUCUACUGAAAGAACUUUAUUGGGAUUUUCAAUCUUUCUCUAAAUUACUUUUUGAUUGAUAAUGGAUGGAAUCCUUAGUGUUAGGCGUUCAUUAUCAAUAAUAUAAACUUUUAACAUUUCAUACAAUAUGGAGACGUUUUCCAUUUUCACUGGCUUGGCCUAAAUUAUGAAAGUCAGCCUUAAAAUCACCAAAGUCUGAUGUACAGUGAGCUGACCCACAUGGUGUAUUGACUUGGCUGUAGUUGUUUUGAUAGAGAGCAAGAGAAUUGCUGUAGGAAGAUUCUUUGCUCUACCUGUCCAUCCGUUCUCGGCAUACAUCAUGCUAUGUUGAAUCCAAGAAUUGAUCGUCCGGUAAUGGGAGGGAAUUUUUUUUAGGUAUUUUGUAAAAUCAAUAUAAUUGCCAGCAGUUUGUAUACCCUUUAAUUUAAAAAUAAUGUAUAUGUACCAUUACAGGUACACUCGUAGCUCAGAGCCUGAAACGUUUUAAAGAGCCAUAUUACAAUACGUAAAUAAGCAAUGUACUAUUGUCCAUGACAGGUCCACGAGGACUGGACUUGGGAACCACAGGGAUGUUUAUUAGCCGUUGCAAACUCUGUGCCAACAUUUUUAAAUAC